GCUCGUGGCGACAAUCACGCGACGGAAGUGUGUUUGUAUUUCUGUUUGGUCGAUUAAAUUUUUGUUUGUUUUGUUAUGUAAAAAUGAGAACUUCAGUUUUGUUCAUGUGAAAUCGCUUACUGCAGAAUCUUUCUGAAUGGGCGAUAAGAUGAUUUCAGUUGCAUCCUGCUGUACAAAAUCUGCGUGGUCUGGUCUUCAAGUAGAGGUCUCCUGGAAAGUGGUUCGUGGCCUCUCAUGACUCAUGGUUUCGUUUCUCUUCAUGCCGCCAUAUUCUUCCGCACUUGGUUGAUUCCACCUCUUGUGUCUAACUCGAGGUGACCGGAUCUGUCCUAUCACACGGACGCUCCGCCGGAGUGUAGAGCUGGCCGGCUCAGCCGCGCUCUGCAUUUGUGCCUCAUCUGUCGAUUUCGCCUCUUGCGCAGCUGUUAGAUUAAUUUGUCUGGUUCAGUGGUUGCCUCUGCCCUGCGGCCGUUGCCGUACUUCAUCUGGACGGUCCAAUGUCUGUCCGUCGUUCUUGCCGCCUUGACAGUCAUUUGCUUUGCAUCAGCCCACUCUGUUUUGCUUCUGCUCUGCGGCCAGGGAGCCAUCGACAUCAUUGU